GCUUCUUUCUUCUACAUCAUUUUUUAUUCUAGUCAUGCAUCAUUCAACAAGUAAAAUAAGUUUAUUUUCAGAAAUUCAUAAAACUUUGGCUUUUUUUCAUAAAUAAUCCAAUAUCCCUAUAAUUAUAUAGGAAUUAUAUAUAUAUAUAUAUAUAUAUAUUUUUUUUUACAGAAAAUAACUUCAUUCUGCAAUCGAAAGAAUAACAGCAAGCUCUCAUUGUACCAAGCACUCAUUCCUGUUUUGCUCUUCCCCGCUUCACUAUGUGAGGAUGAUACCAUGAGACGGCAUCAUCACUGAAACAGGUCCUCACCAGAGACCACACCUGCUGGCACUUUGAUCCUGGAAUCCCCUCUUCCAGAAUUCUGAGAAAAUAAGGUUUCAUUUUUUAGAAAUUAUGCAGUCUGUGAUAUUCUUUUACAGUAGCACAAAUGGAAGAAGACAGUAUUUAUCUACACUAAUUGUAAAUAUGUAGGUAUGUAAAAAUGCUUAAUUUUAAAACAUCUUCAAAGGUAAUUGACAUUACAAAUUACAACCUGUGAUGGGGUUUAAAACACGUUUAAAAAUAAAAUGUAGGAAAAUAAUACCACAAAUACUAGAAAGUGGACAUAGAAGUUUACUGUCAUAAGAUGUAUACGUUUAAGAACUGAUAUCGUACUGUUUGGAGGAACACUAUAAUAAAUGUAUAUACCAGAAACCUCAAAUAAGCAUCUAUAAAAACCAAACAGAGUUUUAGCUAAUAAGUCAAUAGAAGAGAUAAAAUGAAAUUGUAAAAAAUAUUCAAUCCAAAAGAUGGAAUGAUAAGAAGAAAAAAGAACAAAGAACAGAAAGAAUAAACAGAAAAUAAGUAGAAAUAUGGUCUAUUUAAACCAACUCAUAUAUAUGGUCACAACUAAAGUGGUUUAACACUGAAGUUAACAUAUUUUAGGUUUUCUAUACCCUUACUUUUGUCCACUUGAAAUCUGCUACACAGUGUUGUGUGAAUACUUACUAUUAUUAAACAGUUUCUACUAUUUUAUAUGUAAUACUUUUUAUU
rnacentral:lncRNA from 1 species